rnacentral:rRNA from 1 species
AGUUUUUUUUCCGGCUCAGAUUGAACGCUGGCGGCAGGCGUAACACAUGCAAGUCGAACGGUAACAGGAAGCAGCUUGCUUCUUUGCUGACGAGUGGCGGACGGGUGAGUAAUGUCUGGGAAACUGCCUGAUGGAGGGGGAUAACUACUGGAAACGGUGGCUAAUACCGCAUAACGUCGCAAGACCAAAGAGGGGGACCUUCGGGCCUCUUGCCAUCAGAUGUGCCCAGAUGGGAUUAGCUUGUUGGUGAGGUAACGGCUCACCAAGGCGACGAUCCCUAGCUGGUCUGAGAGGAUGACCAGCCACACUGGAACUGAGACACGGUCCAGACUCCUACGGGAGGCAGCAGUGGGGAAUAUUGCACAAUGGGCGCAAGCCUGAUGCAGCCAUGCCGCGUGUAUGAAGAAGGCCUUCGGGUUGUAAAGUACUUUCAGCGGGGAGGAAGGUGUUGUGGUUAAUAACCACAGCAAUUGACGUUACCCGCAGAAGAAGCACCGGCUAACUCCGUGCCAGCAGCCGCGGUAAUACGGAGGGUGCAAGCGUUAAUCGGAAUUACUGGGCGUAAAGCGCACGCAGGCGGUCUGUCAAGUCGGAUGUGAAAUCCCCGGGCUCAACCUGGGAACUGCAUUCGAAACUGGCAGGCUUGAGUCUUGUAGAGGGGGGUAGAAUUCCAGGUGUAGCGGUGAAAUGCGUAGAGAUCUGGAGGAAUACCGGUGGCGAAGGCGGCCCCCUGGACAAAGACUGACGCUCAGGUGCGAAAGCGUGGGGAGCAAACAGGAUUAGAUACCCUGGUAGUCCACGCCGUAAACGAUGUCUACUUGGAGGUUGUGCCCUUGAGGCGUGGCUUCCGGAGCUAACGCGUUAAGUAGACCGCCUGGGGAGUACGGCCGCAAGGUUAAAACUCAAAUGAAUUGACGGGGGCCCGCACAAGCGGUGGAGCAUGUGGUUUAAUUCGAUGCAACGCGAAGAACCUUACCUGGUCUUGACAUCCACAGAACUAAUCCAGAGAUGGACUGGUGCCUUCGGGAACUGUGAGACAGGUGCUGCAUGGCUGUCGUCAGCUCGUGUUGUGAAAUGUUGGGGUUAAGUCCCGCAACGAGCGCAACCCUUAUCCUUUGUUGCCAGCGGAUUAGGUCGGGAACUCAAAGGAGACUGCCAGUGAUAAACUGGAGGAAGGUGGGGGGAUGACGUCAAGUCAUCAUGGCCCUUACGACCAGGGCUACACACGUGCUACAAUGGCGCAUACAAAGAGAAGCGACCUCGCGAGAGCAAGCGGACCUCAUAAAGUGCGUCGUAGUCCGGAUUGGAGUCUGCAACUCGACUCCAUGAAGUCGGAAUCGCUAGUAAUCGUGGAUCAGAAUGCCACGGUGAAUACGUUCCCGGGCCUUGUACACACCGCCCGUCACACCAUGGGAGUGGGUUGCAAAAGAAGUAGGUAGCUUAACCUUCGGGAGGGCGCUUACCACUUUGUGAUUCAUGACUGGGGUGAAGUCGUAACAGGGGGAAACC